GCAAGGCCUUACUCAACCGUGCUUUUGGCUACAUGAGUGCGCUAGCGAUGUAGACGAUGAAGCAAUGAUUGAGAUUAAGUUGUCGCACCACCAAUUCCACUACUUUGAGGAUUCAUCGACCUUCAUUUCUAAGGUUGAUAUUAAAGAAUUCUUACUUGAGGAAGAGUUGAAUGUUUCCAUGAUACAAACAUUCAUGAGGCUAUUAUACAAUGAUUUGAGGCCAUCUAGUGAGCCAAUGUUUGGUUGGUUAUGUCCAAGCUU